AUUACACACUUAUUUCUCUUCUCUAUUGGCUAAAUUCCACAUUAUCGAAAAAAUGCAAAAAUUCACAGUCUUUAUAUUUCAAAAUCUGAAAUUAUUGCAACCACGUCAGCUGGCCUAUCAUUAUUGCAUCAAUCGCUACUUGGACAAGAUUUACGAGAAAGGCAGAGCGGAAGAAAAUGUGCACUUUUUGAAAAAGCAACGUGAGCAACUAAGUAGUCUUCGAACCAAACUUAUCAAGGAGAAGGAGGCCAUUCGAAAGAGAAUGAAUAUACUGGACGGGGAAAUCGAAAGCAUUAAGAUGAAAAAUACGAAACGUGAAAACUGACAAACAUAAUACGGCUUGUAAAUCUUCACUUCCCCACCAAUUCAAAAAUGGAAAAUGACGUAAUAUAAUAUUAGUUAUCGGGCUCGUAUCGUUUUGUAAUUAAACAAGCUUAUAGUACAUAUAUUAAGAUUAUAGAAUUCAAAAUUUAAACCGCAAUGCAAACUUCUAUUUCUGUCUUAAGAAAUUGUAAAAAUAUUCGGCCAAGUAAAUUAUAUCUUCUACCAAUAUUCCGAUGCUAUGGAGACAAAAUACGCGACAAGGGUCUGGCAGAAGAAAAUGUUCACUUUUUAAAAAUGCAACGUGAUCAACUAAAGCAGCUUCGGCGAAAAAUACUCAAGCAACGGGAAAAUCUGGGAAAGCAAAUGAAGAAACUAGAGCAGAAAAUUGAAAAAAUUGAAUUAGAAAAGAGGGAAGAAGACAAACAAGUGAAAAACCAAACCAAAAAAAAUAGCAAGCAACUGGACUAAAAUCAGUCGAUUACUAAUAUUUCAAAUCAUUUUGGCCAAUAUGAUAGUACAAAUUAAUAAUAAUCUGAAGAACAUUAUUAAAUUCAUUGUUAAAUA